rnacentral:rRNA from 1 species
CCUGGGAACUGCGUUNUGAACUGGGUGACUAGAGUGUGUCAGAGGGAGGUAGAAUUCCACGUGUAGCAGUGAAAUGCGUAGAGAUGUGGAGGAAUACCGAUGGCGAAGGCAGCCUCCUGGGAUAACACUGACGUUCAUGCCCGAAAGCGUGGGUAGCAAACAGGAUUAGAUACCCUGGUAGUCCACGCCCUAAACGAUGUCGAUUAGCUGUUGGGCAGCAUGACUGCUUAGUAGCGAAGCUAACGCGUGAAAUCGACCGCCUGGGGAGUACGGUCGCAAGAUUAAAACUCAAAGGAAUUGACGGGGACCCGCACAAGCGGUGGAUGAUGUGGAUUAAUUCGAUGCAACGCGAAGAGCCUUACCUGGUCUUUACAUGUACGGAACCCUCCAGAGACGGAGGGGUGCCUUCGGGAGCCGUAACACAGGUGCUGCAUGGCUGUCGUCAGCUCGUGUCGUGAGAUGUUGGGUUAAGUCCCGCAACGAGCGCAACCCUUGUCAUUAGUUGCCAUCAUUAAGUUGGGCACUCUAAUGAGACUGCCGGUGACAAGCCGGAGGAAGGUGGGGAUGACGUCAAGUCCUCAUGGCCCUUAUGACCAGGGCUUCACACGUCAUACAAUGGUCGGUACAGAGGGUAGCCAAGCCGCGAGGUGGAGCCAAUCUCACAAAACCGAUCGUAGUCCGGAUUGCACUCUGCAACUCGAGUGCAUGAAGUCGGAAUCGCUAGUAAUCGCAGGUCAGCAUACUGCGGUGAAUACGUUCCCGGGUCUUGUACACACCGCCCGUCACACCAUGGGAGUGGGGGAUACCAGAAGUAGGUAGGGUA